GUAAUAAAAGGUGUUUGAAUUCGUGAAGAACUAAACUUGAUAUACUCUCGAAGAGAAAAGGAUCACUCGAAGAAGUGUAGAGAAAAGUUGGAAGAAUCUUUGCUCAGAACGAACUACGGCGCCGAAAGAUGGAAAAGACGAAACACAAACGCUUGCUUGCGGCGAAUAAAAGAAAGAAAGAAUGGUCGGGGUGGAGAGAUGUCGGAGCUGCCUUGGGCGACAUUUAUGCACGCAAAUACAAAACUCGAUUUCGAUGAAAUUUGCAUGAGUAAAAUAUGCAUGGGAUUUGGCUUUUUGGCUGAGAAUAUGCUGAAUACUCUUCUGUUUACCUCCUUGAUUUUUAACUUUUCGGAUUUCGGUUUUUGCAUGGGUCUGGUCGUAUCAAGUGCAUGCGGAGUGAAUACAAGUGAUUCUGGGGCCCCAAUCACUUGUGUUUUCUCCAUCUUGACGACUAUAUAGUCCGGACAAAAAUAUCGCUCGCAGAGCACCUAAAACAUAAAAACAUGAAAUAUGUAUUUCUAGAAGGAGAUGAUAGUCCAGUGUUCUUGCUUUCUUGUACAAAAACGUACAUGACAUUUUGUACCAAAAC